ensembl:lncRNA
AAAAUGCUGUUUUUGGAAAUGUGAUUAAUUGUUUAUUUAUUUUUGUAUGCAGAAAGGCUGGAUGUGAAUCACUGACUGGGCUGUCCCAAGCCUGCAGGUGUUCUGGAGUGAACAAAGGAUAUUUCUAUCUACUCCUAGAUUUGAUUUGAGGACAAGGAAUCUACUUCCAGGACUGAAGAGUGUACUGGUGGUGCAAGACACACGAUGUUCCCAUUGUGUGUUUCUCUCUUCAUUAUGCUUUAAAUUUUCCCAAGCUUCCCAUGGUUGUGAC